rnacentral:lncRNA from 1 species
AGUCUUCUCUGCAGACACCAGCCUGGUGUCCUCCUUCAUCCCAGGCUGCCAGGCUAGGCAGGGGACAGCGGCUGCCCUGGUCCUCACAGCCCUGGCUACGGGGCUGGUGACAGCCAGAUCCUCAUGCUUCUGCGACCUGAGCGCUGCCUUCAGACACCUCUCUGCUGGCGUGUUCCUGGGUCCAUGAUGGAAGAAGGAAAAGUAUUUUUAAAAGACAAUCUGAAGCUCAUACUGUGACUGCAACAUAAAAUGUGUUCACCUGAGGAGACUGCUUUCAUCGCCAGUGUGUCACAGAUGGUGGAAACCUCAGAAGGCCACAGUCCAGAGUAGGGGCUUAAUGCAAGCUGCUGGAACUGAAUAAAGGUCUCUGAUGGUUCUGGUUUCCUGGGCACCUAGAAUAAGUGUGUCACCAUUUGUCCUGAAGCUGACUUCUCUGAGCUGGAUGGCACCCUGGACAUCAACCAGCCCUUCACCUUCACGUCACACAGGAGGGACACUGGUCCAUAGAGAGGAUGCCUGCUCUGGUCACCAGCUGGAGAGUGGCAGACCUUGGGUACCUGACCUUUGGACUCUGCCACACAGAGCACUUCCUCAGUCCCUCCUGCUGCCCCUGGCAGGGUGGAGCUGGCAGGGCAGCUGAUCCAGGACCGUCCACUUCCAAGCCAGCAGGAGGAUGGAAAAGCAGAAUGGAGGGGAAACAACCUCCUUUGCAGGGCGUGACUCGGAAGUUGGACACAUCAUUUCCAGCCACAUUCCAUGGACCAGAAUUAGCCCUGUGACCAACUCUGGCUGCCAGAAAAUCUGGGAAAUACAGUCUCUGCUUGGGCGAUCAGGCAGGCAGUUAUAUCUUUGGGAACAUCUCUCACCCCCUGGGAACACCUGAGCAGAAACUGAAGGACAUUUAACAGAUUCUCCUUUGUGUCUAAUAAGAAUUGCCCCCAUCAGUCGGGGCUGUCCUAGGUGCUGGGUACAUAGGUCAUCUAUACACAACCCAGCAAUGGAGAGCACACCAUUCCCAGGCUGCAGAUGCAGAAACUGUGGCUCGGAGAGUUAAGCGUCUUGUUCAGAUUCAGUCAGCUGGUAGAUGGCAGGUCUGGGAUUGAGACCCAGGCCUGGCUGGUCCUGCCAGGACACAGUAUCACAGCUUUGACUGGGAGCUUCUUUUUGUUUACAUAUAUUUUUUAUGCUCAAUGUGCAUUCCUUUUGAAAUACACAGAAAAGGGAAAGAA